GCCCGUCUAGCUCAGUCGGUAGAGCGCAAGGCUCUUAACCUUGUGGUCCUGGGUUUAAGUCCCAGGGUGGGCG
rfam:Ipomoea nil DNA, scaffold: scaffold3056, cultivar: Tokyo-kokei standard.